rfam:Clostridium paraputrificum strain 373-A1 CP373A1_32, whole genome shotgun sequence.
AAACAGCGAUGAAUCAAGAGGUUGCCGGACUUCCGGGUAAUUCUUGAUGAGUAUGUCUGGAUCUAGAAUCCGACGACAG